rnacentral:lncRNA from 1 species
CGGGAUGCCGGUCCACCGGCUCACCACCUCCGCGAUCUGCUCGGGGCCGACGGUCUCGGUGAGCAUCAGGUUCUCGCCGGUCUCGCCCUCCAGCUUGGCGAUGGCGGCGUCGAUCUCCUGGAGGGCGCCGUACUUGAGGUCGGCGACGCGUGCCAGGUCCAUGCGCCGCUCCGCCUCCUGCAGCGUGAACUGCAGCUCCUCGCGCCGCUGCUUCAGCUUCCGGAUCUCGUCGAUCCGCUCCUUCUCCUUGCGGUACUUCAUGGUCAGCGGCUGCAGCUUGUCCCUCAGGUCGUCCAGCUCCUUCCUCACCUCCACCAGCCGGGCCUUGCUGGCCUUGUCCUUCUCCUUCUCCAGCGCGUGGAGCUCCACCUCCAGCUGAAUCCGCUUCCUCUCCAGGUUGUCGAUCUCCUCCGGCUGGCUGUCCAGCUGCACCCUCACGUUCGCGCACGCCUCGUCCACCAGGUCGAUGGCCUUGUCCGGCAGGUGCCGGCCCAUGAUGUACCUCGCCGAGAGCUGCGCCGCGACGACGAUGGCGCGGUCCUGGAUGCGCACGCCGUGGUGCCCCUCGUACUUCUCCUUGAGCCCUCGCAGGAUGCUGAUGGUGUCGGCGACGCUCGGCUCGGCCACGUACACCUGCUGGAACCGCCGCUCGAACGCGGCGUCCUUCUCGACGUACUUGCGGUACUCCUCCAG